rnacentral:tRNA from 1 species
GAGGUUAUAGCUCACUGGUAGAGCACCUGCUUACCAUGCACAAAUUCCCAGGUUCAAUCCCCAGUACCUCCA